UUAUGUUUCCUGCAUUUCUAUGAAAACAUUCGUUUUGUCAAAAAAAGACGAAUAAUUAAUUGAAUACACACCAUUUCGAGCCGUAUAUCGUUUGUCCAUCAAACUCAUCGUAGAGAGUCGAUUUCUAUUAAGAGAAAGACACUUUCUUGUCUCCCCCUACAGUCUACAAUCGGUCUACUUUCUUUUACGAGCCAAUCACUGAUACGAAUGCGAACUCAUCGUAAAUACCGAUAGGUAUUUCCAAUCAUUGAACUUACGACAAAUCGACAAUACAAUAUAACCGUUACGUAGAAAUCGAUUAUUAAAAUGAACCGUCGAUUGUUUAUUAAACUUGGAUUUUCCUAUUAUUUCGUGGCUCAGCCCUCUUUCUUCUGAGCUUCUGUCUCUAUUUACGAAAAUCUCUGAUAUUAUAUUUUACACAACGAAGAUCGAUCGAUUUGAUAACGCACCGAAUAACUCUGAUAAAAUAUUCUUCUAUUUAUUAAUUUUUGAAACUAUAUGAAUCUCGAAUAUCUCGAUUGAUUGUUUGGAACUCGUGUGAGAAGAAAAUUACCUAUGAGAAUGAUGAUCCUUCGAGAUGUCUAUGAGAUAUUGGAAAAGGAAUGAGAAUGAGAAGGAAACGAAUGGUCAACAAGGCCGAUCUUCUUCGUUGCGAUGUGAUAUAAUAUUAUUUUAUACAUUAUAAACCACAUUUUAUGAUCUAAAUUGAAUCAAUAAACCAAUAAAGAAAAAUUGUGUUUAAAAUAUUAAAGAUAUAAAUAAAUGAUAUAAAAAAUCGGAUCGAGUGCCGAUCCUAAUGGAUGUUAUUCAAGUUAUCUGGGGAAAACCUGAACGAGAUAAGAACAGAAAAUAUAUUAUCAACGUAUCGUGUCGGCUCAAACUUAUACGUAUCGUUAAGACGUUUCUGAUUUUUAAAUGAUCCCAAAAUAUAAAAAAUAUCGAAAUAAGAAAAGAACAUCGAAUCUUAUUUUAUUACAUUAAUAAUAUUUACGAAUUUUGAUCACAAGAACAAAGAUAUCAAUAUUCAAUUCGAACAUAUACUUAUAUAUCACGAUGUAAGAGGCUAAACGCAAAAAAAAAAAAUUCAAAUCCACGCGUGUCUCGUAAUAUGAAAGAAAGAGAUAGAUUAAUAAUUUUUAGCCUUGUAAAAUUCCCGUGUUUGUAUUUCUGCGAUAAUUUCAUUUGUAAGAUAACGAUAAGAUCGAUAUUUUCUUUCUUUUUAUUUUCUGGGCCCUUUGAAAAUACCUUUAUCUACCUUUUAUCAAUCUUUUUCACAAUUUCGAGUAAAUUAAAAGGAAAUUAUUCAACGCUCUAUUAUUUCAUACUUAAAUUUGAACAAAACAUGUUUUCCAAACUAAAGGAAUCUUGGUUUUAGAAAAAUCAUCAUAAAAUUUGUCGAAUGUCAAGCGUUGUUGUUUGGUUAUACACGAGGUUGGGAAAGUACGAUGACUCAAUGACAAAACGGAAAGUAGUGGAUAUUUUUGCCCAGAUCUCUAUAGUCCCAGAAAAUUUUGAUCAUUGGAGUUUGGUUUCUUCGACUGAUUUUCUCGAUACUUGCACAGAAUGGCAAUGAACAAA